UACGAAGGGGGCUAGCGUUGCUCGGAAUCACUGGGCGUAAAGGGCGCGUAGGCGGCGUUUUAAGUCGGGGGUGAAAGCCUGUGGCUCAACCACAGAAUGGCCUUCGAUACUGGGACGCUUGAGUAUGGUAGAGGUUGGUGGAACUGCGAGUGUAGAGGUGAAAUUCGUGGAUAUUCGCAAGAACACCGGUGGCGAAGGCGGCCAACUGGACCAUUACUGACGCUGAGGCGCGAAAGCGUGGGGAGCAAACAGG
rnacentral:rRNA from 1 species